rnacentral:lncRNA from 1 species
ACAAUAUGAAAUUCAGCAAUGUCUAUAUAAUACUUCGAUAUUUUUAUAAAACAAAAUAAACAUUGCAAGUCUUCCAAAAAAAAAGCUAUAUAAAUGAUGCUUCCUUAGCUUGUAAAGCAAUAUGUAUGAUGUAUGAAUAUGUACAUACAUGCUAACAAAUAUCUGGCAACUCCACCAAGAGUAGCUUGAGGUAAAAUAAUAGUGGUGAUACAACUUUAUCUUGACCUACAACUUAUGAUACCAUAGAGACCAUAUUUAACCAUAAAAUUGCAAGAUAUAUGACAAGAAUUUUCCAUAAUAAAUUGAAUGGCUAAACAAGAUUCGAAAGCAGUAUAGAUUAGGACGGAACUAUAACUAAAGAUGACAUAAAUUGAAUGGCUAAACAAGAUUCAAAAGCAGAAGCAACUUAUCUUCUAGCACAUACUAAAACAGGAUAGACUAAGAUGGAAUUAUAACUAAAGAUGACAAACUAAAAAGACAAGUAUACUGGAAAGUUCUCAUUAAGCAAUAAGAGAGGCAAUGAAAGGAAUACUUUUCUGUCAUUCCCUUGACCAGCAUGUCCAUCUUGUGCAAAGAAAGCCAGAAUCAAGUUUCCAAUAAAAGCACCAAUAUCAAAUCCCAUUGGUCCAUAAAAUGCAAACUCUGGAUCUAUGACCUGAGUUGAAUCAGGGGUAACCAUUACAGAACCAGUAUGGAGAUCUCCAUGUAUAAGAGCCUGAGCUCUUUCACAGAACCUACAUAAAGGGAUGUUUAAUAACUUGAUAAAGCAUAAAAUGGCAGUUACAGAAGGUAGCAUUAAAAGGAAAGGCAACCAUACUUAGAUUUCAAUUCAGCUACUUCAAUCUUCAAUAGAUUAUCCUCCCGGACAGUCUCCGCAUCACGGUCAAGAUAAGGUGAAGUCCAACGGUUAUAUUCAGAUACUUUAUAGGGGUCAGAAAAAACAACCUGCUCAGUGAGCCUGCAUAGUUCCACAUUCCCACAAAAUUCGGCCACUGCACAAAACAUUGAAUGUAAAUGAAUCAGCAUCAUAUCGCCAAGCUUCUAAAAGCCAUCAAUACUAGAAAAUAGCAUUUCUUUAAUCUAAAACAACACAUAUAUACUUGCUCCAAACAGACUAGUAGAGUUCUUCAUAUCCACAGGCAUAUAAAGAAGCAUUUUUUUUCUUAAUUCCAUGAGUUCCCAUGACUACUGGUAUUAAAAUCAUAUUCAUGGCAUUGCUAAAAUUGCACUAAGAAUUGACAAGAUCCGUGGUCAAGAAGAUCUAAACAUUGAAUGGCUACUGAAGGAAGAAGCUAUAUUGAGAUAAUUAGAAAUAGAUUAAUAUAAUACCAGGCUUAAACAUACACUUGCCAUUUACUCAAUGAAUAAGAAAAUAUACUUUUCCCCUUGUAAUCUUUGGUAUAUAGACAUUAUGGACCAAUCAUUUAUCAGAUAUAACAGAUAAUAAUAGCACCAGCAGCAAGCUUUCUAAAGCUCUAAUACAUUUCAAAUAUUGGAUAGUAGAUUAUACAACACUCCCUAAACUACCGAUAGUUUGAUAUGUUUCAUCAAACUUGAUGCAUUCGGGCCCAAAAUAUAACAAGAACUUUGUUAUGAAUCAAUGUUGCAACCAAGAAUUCCAUAAUAUGUAGUUUUAUUAGUGCACGAUCUAUAUCUAUAUAAAUCCUAACUUAUGAUCCCCAAAUGUACUUGCAGUGACAGCAUUCAAACUACACCAAAACCAAACUCAAAACAUAAAAACACUGAGAAAGAAAAUGCAUAUGAGUCCGUUACCAGCACGUUUGUGCUCUGUGGUUGACCGAUAUAGGAGAGAUGUGCAGAAAAGAGUCUUGGCCAUGUAUUCUGACAUAUGUUCCGCCAACAAAGGAUAUUCAAUCCCAGCAAUUAACCCUUUUCUCAGGAUUAUAUGGGGAGGCUCUAAAUACCGCAUUCCAAUCAAGGACAUGGUACGGUCAAAGUGAUAAACUUCAGGAACAUGUUCUGGGCAUAACGCACCAUGUUGUUUUAACGCUAACACUUCGAAAUAUGCUCUUUCCUUAGUCAUGGGCCAAGAUUCCCCAAUACAUCGUAUGUAGGGAAGUGCCUGUAUUCAACAUUUUACGCAUAAACUGGAAAAUCCCAUUUCAUAAUUUCGAGUAUUUAAAGAUUAAAAGGGAAAAAAAGAAGAAGAAGAAGAAGAAGAAGCGAAACCUGCUUGAUUACAAAAGAACCAGAAGGGGCAACGAUGAUGUAGACGAAAUUAAGAUUGCCAUCUCCAACUUCCUUAAUCUUUAAACCAUCAUAGUUGUCGACGAUCUUCGAUGACAAAGACGGCGUUGCUUUAAUGUAUUCGAUGAGCGACUUCUCGUCUAGUGGCCUGAACUCAGAAAACGCCAUUGACUUCCUUGUUUGAGGCAGUCCUUUUGAGGGGUUUUAAGAAGAAGUGAAGAAGCGAUGUACAGAGAUUUAAGGAAGAGAGAUGCGUGACUUAACUUCAAACGUUGGCACUGUAGACUGUAGAGUAAAAAGAAAAAAAGAUUCGAUAAUAGCGUCGAAGAUUUUUACAAUGGGUAAGCCAAUAGGGGAUCAGUGAAGUAUGGCCGGGCAAGCUGGUCGUGAAAUGAAAGAUGAUUUGAAUGAAACGCUUGCUUAUAGUUGUAGUGGAAACUACAGAGAAAAUAGAAACAAACCCAUCUAGGUGUGUAAUGAAGAAAACAAUAACAUGUUAAUUGUGAAAUGAACUUGGACACGUUUACGGUGACGUUCACUUCCACUUAGAAUAUUAAUACUUUUCUUUUUUGAGGGUAGGUUUGGUGAGCGGUAGGACACAAUGUAAUACGUUUAGUUUAUUUUUUGUUUUGAAUUAUUGUGUCUAGUCUCACUAUCACCGUUAUUUUUACACUAACAAUAGAUAAACACACCGCCCAUCUAAACUCACCCUUAAAUGUGGAUGUUAAAACUUGAUUAUUACUGAAUUUCGUAUUUUUGACUUUGUUGAGAUUUUUUUUUCUCCCUUCACUUGGGAGCAGUUUUUCCUUAUUUAUAAGUUACGAUUUCUUUGAUGUGACAUGCUAAGGGAUAGCUAGGUGUCAUGUAUAUAAUUGAGAACGGCACAUCUCCCCUUUAAGUUUGACACAUAUCCUAGACAUGUCUUUAAGAAAAGAUUCGCACCCAAGAGUAAUCAUACAUGUUCACGUGUCCUGCCUCUCAAGGUUGCGAGGCGUAUCCGCAUGCCUCCCUCGCGAGGUGCUAGUGUUUUACCUCACAAGGUUGCGAGGCAUUCCAUCGUGUUGACCUCUCAAGAUCGUGAAGGUGUCAGUUACGGAUCAAAUUUCAUGUCACGGGUUAUGAGGUAUUCUAUAACAACUUGUCCGUCACUUUGUUGAAGAAGAGUUAUAAAUUGACUUUUCUAAUACGCAAUCGCAUGCAUGAUUCAUUUAAUUAAAGGCUUACUAUGUAAGUUUUAAGCUUUAAUUGCUAUUUUUUCGUUUCCUUAAAAAUUUUUAUAAAUUCAAAUUUUUAAAAAUUUGUCUAAUCCCUAGAUUGUAGUUUAUCAUUAUCUUCCUAACAAUUUACUUCCAUGACUCGUCUUCUUAGUUUGACUUUAUUUUCUUACAAACUUGCUUAUUCAUUUUGGCUUCCUUGGGUUUCUUUUGCAGUUUCAAGCAGAUCUGGUAAAAGAAUAGCGAUUUACAAAAGGAGAGGAUAACUUAUGAAUAUAUAAAUCACUCAAUUUCUCUUUUAUUUUUAUCUUGGUUUGUUUAUCUAAUAUGGCUAGCAUUAGGAUGGGUUGGGGUAGUAGAGAUGGUGGCCAUAGUGGGCGUGGUAAUCAGGGCAGUGGGUUUGGUUUAGAAAAUGAAGGUGGUGGUCACAAGAAGUGUCACGAAGCAUGUGUACCUGUAGAGAGUAACAUAUACAAUUGCACAAAAAUAGAGGCAGAAAUGGUUCGACAUCUUUCCAUUCCGCGAAUCAAAUUGCCAAGCUUUGCUUUUAACUUUGAGAUUGUUAAAGGGGGAAAGAGGUUGAACGAUACCAAAUAAGGUUUAUUGUUGCCUUUACAUCUGUUAGAUGCGGGUUUUCAUCUUCCUCUUUAUCCUUUCUUCUGCACAGUUUUUUAGGAGUAUGGAAUUGCACCAGGACAACUUGUUGGCUUCUCUUGAUGGAUAUUGGUUGCGUAUUUCACUGAUUGGUGUCUAUGGGAUGAACCUCCCCUACAAUUCAUUGGAAAUGUUGUAUUUUUGCCCUUGAGAGGGAUGAAAAUCGAUUAUUAGGAAUUGAUCAUCAAACCUUCAGAUUAACCGGUGCAAAUACACAAGAGUAAAGAAAAAAUUUGGAGAGAAUUUUGAUUAUCCCAUAAAAAUGGUCUCUUCCAAGUACUAAUGUUUGUGUACAACGCCAACCCUUUGACUUUGAGCUCACAGUUGUUCAAUACACAAGGUUGUGUAAGGGUUGACUGAAGUCAAACAUCAUACUUCACGCUCAGAUCAAGACGCCCCUUUGAUGUUACACAAGGUUGUGUAACAUCGAUUUUUUGUGAUACUAGAAUCGACAAUUUUGGGACCCCAUUUUCUGAUAACUGAGUCUGUAAAUACUUAUGAGUCUAUUAUAGCAUUAUAUUAGAUUUCAGUAUAAGAAAGAAUUUUACUGAUUGGAUAGUUAAUUAAGGUACAAUGACUAAAUUGUAAAAGUAGUAAAAGUUAAUCGCUAUAGAAUUUCAAUUGCUAAAGGAUUAAAAUAAUAAUUCAACUAAGGCCUAAAUUUGAAAAUAAGCCAUUUUAGACAAUGGUGGACGAUUUGGUAUGAUUAUGUUAAAAAAUAAAAAUAUGUUAAAAAUAUAAUUUUAUUGUUAUAUGUAUAUUAGAUAAAAUUAAAGAAAACAAAAACAUUUCUUUCAUUUGCUUCCAUCUUUAUCACGAAAUCAAGAAGAGAAAUAGGGUUUUUAUGUUUCAAUUUCAUCCAUAAAUUGGUAAGUAAUUCUUAGUCUGUUUCUUGCAAUUUUUAUGUUUUUGAGAUCUUGGGAGGUUGAUUUAGCUAGCCCAAGGAUUAAAUUGUGAAGCUGUUAAAGUUUUUGAAAGUUUCCAUUGUUAAAUCUUGAAGCUCUUGGUACUAAACUGUUAGAUUUGAAGCUUAGACAUGAAAAAGGAGUAGUUUGUAAAUUGAAAUUUGUUACUUUUGAACAUAGGGACUAAAAUGCAAUAAUUUUGAUUUUGGCAUGAAUUUUCUAUAAUAGGUUUUGGUGGUCUAUAAAAGGAUGAAAUUGAGAUCAAUUUCGAAAUCGAAGCUCAAAUUUGAAAGUUAUGGAAAAUUUGAUUUUAAGGGCUAAAUUGAAUAAAAUACAAAAGUUAAAGGAAUAUUUGAUAAAUGAAAUUGAACUGAUAUAUGAUUAUAAUAUGUUGUCGUGGAAUGUUUGGAAUUGAUAGUUUGAAAUUAAUUGCUAUAUAGAUUAGGAUUUGACUCAAGUCGAUGAUAAUUGGGGAAAAGGAAAAAUUAUUGAUUUGUCCCUACGGUGCAUCUAAUCUGUUGAUUUUGUCAGGUAAGUUCAUAUGGUAUAAUUAUGCUUUGAUCCUUAUGCAUGUUAUAAUGUAACUACCUAUAAUUUUAAAUAACUUUGAUUUAAUUGCAAUUUAGUAUAAAAUGAGUAACUACCUAUAAUUUUAAAUAACUUUGAUUUAAUUGCAAUUUAGUACAAAAUAAGUGUGAUUUGGAUUAAAUUGAAAACAUAUAGCUUUGAACUUGUACGAUGGAAAUUGCCCUGAUGAAAUUUCAUAAAUGUAUCUUAUACAAGGUUACAAGUUAAUUUCCGAUUAUACCAAGCUCCAGCAUUUUUUGCGAACUCGAAGAUAUAUGUGACACAAAUUUAGCCAAGACAGGUAAUUUGUUGUGACUUUAUAGGUUUAGCCUGGACUGCUAACCUUACAUGUAUUUAUAACUCUAGCUAAUUUAUUUGACGUGUUAAUAUAAAGGUUAGCUCAGACGGGUAACCUAACACGAUCUUAUGCUCAGCUAGGAUGAGCCUUUGUUAAUACUUGUGCAAUUGAGUUGUUUAUUGAAUUUCAUCAGGUAAUUCAAUUAAUACGAAAGGUGAAAUGGAAAUGAGAUGUGUUGUGCAUAAUUUUCAAAUAUAUCAUAGUGAAAGAUCUAAUGUCAAGUUUGAAUAUUUAUUUAUCUAUGAAUGAGUUGUGGUUAGAUUGAAUAUGAGUAUAACUUUCCUUGUUGUAAUUGUGCUUUAUUAUACUAGGUAAACUUGGUUAGACAUGUUAGUUUUACAUAUGUACUUGUUAUUUGAGGUAAGUUAAUUGUUAUAUACAUAUGAGCUUACUAAGUGUCACACCCCAAAAAUUGAGCUAGUAGAAUUGGGUCAGAAAAUCGGGGAUUAGUGAACAAGGAACUAUAGUUAGGUUAGAUAAUUAAAUAAUUAGGAAUAAUUAAAUAAAAUAAUUAGAAUAAUUAGAAUUAAAAUUUUGGGUUAAGAAAUUGAAAUUGAGUUUUUGGGAAUUAAUUUGGUUAAAACGGAUUUUAAAAACGAGAUCGAAUUUGAAAAUAAUUUAGAGAAUAUGUUUUAAUUGAACAAAGGUCCUAUUUGAGAAAGGGAAGAAACUAGAGGUGGUUAAAUGGUCAAUAACCCAAUUUUUAAAAAUUGGUUGCCUAUUUAACCGCCCUUACUAUCCCUUCCCUCUCAUCUUCUCCAAUCAUUCAAAAUUUUCUUGAACACCGAAUUAGAUCUUUUCUCCCAAAAUUGAUUCAUCCUUUUUAAAUCUUAAGCUUCCUGAACACAAAUUCCUCUUUCAAUUUCAAAGAAUAAUCACGUUUCAUCCUCAAUUUCUCAAGAGAUCUCCACAUGUUUUAGCUCAAGUUCAUUUCAUAGCUCGUCGAUUUUGCAAAAUUCAGGUGAGAUACUAACUUUUUAUGAUUAAAAUAAGUAAUUUGUUAUUUCAAUUCGAGAUUUAAAUGAUUUAAUCAAGAUUUCAAUAGAUCAAGUGAUUUUAAGUUGAUUUUUGGCUUGAAAAUGUUGGAUCUCGUAUUACUUGGUUGAGCUUCAGUUUUGAACUGUUUUCUAACUCAUUUUGAUCUAAUUAGAAGGUUUUUAACCUUGAUUUAACAAAUCCUUUGGUAAUUUAAACAAAUUGAGUGUUUCCCUCUUCUUGAUGUUCAUAUAAGCUUAAUUUUUUGAAAAAAUUAGAUCCGUGCAAUUAAAUAAAUAGAUGGUUUAGAUCUAUAAUUAGGUGAUAUUUAGGAGGUAUGAAGUUGAAAUCUAAGCUUGGAAAUUAGAUUUGAGUGGUUAAAUAUCUAUUUUGGCAAAACUACCUAAGUUUUCAAUAUUGAAGUUAGUACAUUGUGAUCUAUGAUUUUUGAGGGAUUUAAUAGUGUUUUAUGUUAUUUAUAAUGUCUUCGUAUUAUGUUUAAUGUGUAUGUGAAAUGUCAACUCAAUUGGAAGCCUCCACAAGCAAAGACAAAGGCAAGCAAAAGCUUUGUUGUACAAGCAAGUUGCUAAGGUGAGUAGUCUUGUGUGCUAUAAUUGAUGUGAAAAUCAAUUAGUUAAAGGGGACUUAGGUGGUCUAAUCAUCUAAUCUAAGUCCUUAAUUAAACAAAAAUUUCAUCAUCACUUUUGUUUCACCAUCUUCCAUCGAAAGUACAAAAGAAAAACAACCAAAACACCUUUUUUGGAGCUCCAGGCAUUCAACCUUUGCAUUGUAAGUGUAUCAGAGUUCAUAAAUUUUAUAUCUUUGAGAUUGUGGUAACUUGAUUUAGCUAAUUUGGGUUCUAUUUCACAAAAUUGUUAAAGUUUUUAAAAGUUUUCAUUGUUGUUUUCUUAAAGCUUUUGAUGUUAAAUGGUUAGAUGUUAAGCUUAGAUGUUAAAAAUGACUAAUUUGUAAAGUAAAAUUAUUGUUUUCUGUAAAAGAGGACUACAGCGUAAACAGUGUAAACAGUGGCAUGAAAUUUCUAUGAUAAUGGAUGGUAUUAGAGAGUCAUAGAAGGAUGUUUUUGUAAAUGGAUUAUAAAAUAGUGCUCUAAUGUAAAAGUUAUGAUUGUUUCAGGUUUAGGGCCUAAAUUGAAUAAAAUGUGAAACUUUAGAUAACUUUUGAAAAAUUAAAAAUUUACAUGUCCUAAGCAUGAAAUAGGGUGUUAAAAGGUAUUUGAAACUAAUAAGUUGAAAUGAAUUACUGUAUAAAUCAAAAUUUAACUGAAAUUUUAAAAUGAAAUUAUAGAUUUUUAAAAGGAUCUACGCAAUCUGGAAAACUCCAACAUUUUUUUUAUUUAAUGAGGGAGAAAUGGGAAUGUGGAGAAAAGAGCAAGGCUCAACCAUCUUUGUGGGAUGACUUCGUAAUCAACAAAUUUUAUUAGUCAUGUAUACCUUUUAUUUUUCAAAUAAUUUUUCUCUAAUUUUUUUCUCGAAACUUAACACUACUUACACUAAUAGAUUCCACAUUUUCUUUUUUAUUAAAUAAUUUUUUAUGCUCUACGGUUUCUUUUUCAAUGAUCAAAUGCUAUACACAAUUAUUUUGUUAUAAUCUUAAUUUACAUGAUUAUUACAUUUCUUUUUCUAAUAGUAAUUUAAGAUACAAAGAAAUGUAUUUUACCAUCCUACUAUUGACAAACAAAUUAUAUCAAACUGAGGUACGUUCAUAAUAUGAGUGCAUGAUAAAAUGUAACAUUGAUAGACAAUAUUUGUAAUGAAUAAAAAGGAGAGAUUAUUGAUAUAUAUUUGGAACCACGAGUUUAUUCAAUAAGGAAAUAUUUGGUACAUGGAAGACAUAGCUUUAAUACAUGUUCUUAUUUUAUAAUGGCUCCCCCCAACAAAGACGUAAAAAGUAACAUAUUUUAGUCUCAUUCUUAGUGUAUUUUUGAGUGAUUAUGUGGUAUUAAUUGUGAAUUAUAUACUCCUGAUCAUUUAUAUUCAUAUUUUGAUGUUUAAUAGGGUGCUUAGGAGCAAUAGGAGUGAAAAACAAUAAAAAUUAGAAUAUUGGAGUAUUUGAAAGCCCUAAACCUUAAACAUUGUGCGCUAACAACUGAAAUUUAUGAUUUUUAGGGGUUUUACCCGAAGUUCAUGAGAAUUUUCAUAGCCACCAAAAAGGAAAAGUAAAUUAGAGAUCCUAGAGAGUUAGACUAUCAUCUUGGAAGGAAGAAAUUAGAUGUAGAAAUGGAGAAAGUUAAGAAGAAAGUAAAGAUAUUAAAGAGACAAGGUAAGAACUCAAGUAUGUUUAUAGAAUUCAUGUUUAAUUGAAGUAGAGACAUAAGAAAAUGAUUUGUAGUAUGAGUUUUGAUCAUGUAUUUGUGUAUUCAUGAAGUAGAAAAAGAGAAGAAAUGAUGAAAGUGUAGGAAACAAAGUGAAGGUGGUGAGAAAUGUGAGGAAAGAAGAGAAUUAAAGCAAAAUUAGUUAAAUUCUACAAUAGAGAGAUAAGUACAUCAAGAAACUUGCCUUACUUGUAACAGUCCGAUUUUGGGUCUAGCCAGAACAGUGGUUUCGGGACCACAAAUUUGACGAGGAAAAAUUUAUUUAUAUUAUAUUUUUAUGGCCUACAAUUUCACGAAAUGAUUUCAUGAAAAUAUCGUUCGAAAAAUUUCGACGUUUGGCACUCAAUUUAGUCAAAAGGACUAAAUUGUAAAAAGUGCAAAAGUUGAUUUCUACGUGUUAAAGGUAUUUAAUUAUUAUGAAAUUAUAAAUUGGGGAUCCUUAUAUGGUAAUUAGACCAUUGGUUAAGUUGUUGGACAAAAAUGGACAUGAGAUAAGUGAAAUAGGAAAAUUUUAAGUUAAGGGCAUUUUGGUAAUUUGGUAAUUAAAAUGUAUUAAAAAGACAAAAUAGGCCAAAAAAUCAUCAUCUUCAACCCCAUGGCCGAAUUUUACAAGGUGAGAAGCCAUAGUUAGGGUUUUCAAGCUUCCAAGCUCCAUAGUAAGUGAUUCUAAGCCCGUUUUUAAUGUUCUUUACGUUUUUGGAGUUCCGGUAACUUGUUUUAGCUAUUUCUAGCAAUAAUUUAACAUAGGUUUUAUAUUUCGAAAAAUACCCAUAGGUGAAAUAUGUUUAUUUUGAUGUUUUAUGAUAAAAUAUGAAGCUAGAAAUUAUGUUAAACAACUUUUGCUAAGCGAUUUUAAGUGAAAACGAGUAAAAUGACAUAAUCGGUAAAAAUACCUAAUGUUCAUAAGUAAGUGUUAGAGUGAGAAUUUGAUGUUGCCAAAGAAGGGGAAAAUGUUCAGUAUGUCAUAGAACAUAAGAAUAAUAGAUGAAAUUUAAUUUUCGAGCUUUGGGGCAAAAGUGUAAAUAAGCAAAAAUUUAGGGGCAAAAUUGUAAUUUUUCCAAAGUACGAUUUUUGGAUCAGAUUAAUUAAUGUGAGUGCUAAAUAAGUUAAAUUUGUUGUUAUAAGAUGUGAAAUGUAAGAAAUUGACUUUAAUCAGUGAAAAAGAAAAUGAGAAAAAGUGAGUAAAGUUCUCGAUUGAACACUCGGAUUAGACCGGGAUUCUUUGAAUGUAAGGGGUUGCUAAGUGUAGAUUCUCCGAGUCAUUGAUCAAAAAAGAGUUGCUAAGUGCCGAUUCCCUAAAUCAUAGAUCAAAAAAUGGUUGCUAAGUGCAGAUUCUCCGAAUCAUUGAUCAAAAAGGGGUUGCUAAGUGCAGAUUCCCAAAAUUAUUGAUCAAAAAGGGGUUACUAUGUGUUGAUUUCCCAUAUCGCUAACUACAAGGUGGUUGCUAAGUGCUGAUUCCACCGUAUCCUUGAUGGUGAAAGGGGUUGCUAUGUGUUGAUUCCCCGUAUCACUGAAUAUAAAGUGGUUGCUAAGUGCUGAUUCCACCGUAUCAUUGAUGGUGAAAGGGGUUGCUAUGUGUUGAUUCCCCGUAUCACUGAUUAUAAGGUGGUUGCUAAGUACUGAUUCCACCGUGUAAUGGUUAAUAUUCCGAGGUGUUCAUCGGGGAAAUUGACUAAGUGAAAAUACAUGAGAUCAUGUACCGAUUAAGUGCAAUUGACUAAUGAAUAUAUGUGUGGAAUUGAAUUGAAUAUUCACUAGAAAAUGAAAAAGUGAAAUUUAAAUUAAAUAGUGAUUACAAGUGAAAAAGUGAAAUUAUGAAAAAGUAGAAUUAGCAACAAAACAGUUUUGGACAGUAAUAGUAGUGUAACUUUGAAAAAUUACCAAAAAUAGUAGAAAUUGAAUUAGAGAGUGAAUAAGAUAUUAAAUGAAAGCUUAAUGAGUCUAUUUUUACAUAAAAGAAACAUAGCAAGUAAAAGAGUUAUAUAUUUUGAGAUAUUUGAAUUUUAGUGAAGCACGGUGGGAUUGAUUUCAGAAUCCCCUAUUCUAAUUUUGAAAAAUAAUUAUAAAUUGUAAAAAAAUAAUUAUGAGUUAUAAUAUAUAUACUUAGAAUCCUUAACGAGUCUAUUUUCAAAGGAAUCAAAUAGAAACAUCAUCUAAAUUUCGUACAAUGAGAUAAUUCAUUUUUAGUGAAGAGUGGUCGGAACUGUUAGACAGCAAAAUAGGGGACAUUUGAAGAAUAAACUGUACUAUUUGGAUGAACCAAAAAUUCUAAAAAUUUUAUUGUAAUAAGAUAUAUGAGUCUAGUUUCAGGAAAAAUUAACGGAUAUUAAUUUGGAGCUCUGUAGCUCUAGAUAAAAAUAAUUUAGUGACUCUGACUCAAACAGGUAGCUUUGAAUAUAUAUGUGAGUGAAUAGUGAAAAUAUAGAAAAUAUUAUUUAUAAGAGUGUUAUGUACAUUAAGGAUGUGGAAUGGGGAGGAGGAGGAGGAAAAUAAAAUAUAUGAAUGGUUUAUGUAUAAUUGGUCAUAUACUCAUUCAUAAUCGAUAGACGUCGAAUUGAAUGGUAAAUUCGUAUUGGUAUUGAAUUUAUUAAUAACAGUUGUUGAAUUUUGAAUAAGAUGAUUAGUAAAUAAAAAUAAGGUUAACAUCGAUAUUGAAUUGUUUGUGAGUUGAAUGGAAAUUAUUAUUGAUAUGAUUUGAAUUAAAAGAAUUAUUGUGGUAUUGAAAUGCAAAUUGGGUUGAGAAAUUAAUCUGAAUUGUGAACAUGAAGAAUUGUGAAUUGAAUGGAAUUGAAAUAAAGCAUUGAAUUGUUAAGAAUAGUGAAUUGCAUGAUUGUGUAUUGAACCUUGUAAGCCCUAUUUUGGCUUAAUUAGUUAUUAUAAAAAUUAGCCAUGUAAGUGGGCUUAUAAAUGAUGUAUAGGCUAGUUUUAUUAUGGAUAGUUUUAAAUUAUAUAAGUAGCCAUGCGAAAUGACUUGAGAGUGAAAUUAAUGAUGAUUUAUACGUAGUUAGCUCCAUUUGGGAAGUAGACUAUGAUAUAUUUUGUGUGAUGACAAUGUAGUUAAUGGAAGAGUUUUUGUUUUGUGGUAUAUGCUCCUAUAAGAUAUGAGGUGAUUAGGUUAUUACUUGUGAAUUAGUCAUUAUGGUACAUAGACAAUACUGAAUGAUGAUCAUGCUUUAUGAAAUAUCUAUCGUCAUAAGGAUGAUUAUAAAAUAUCUUGUUAUUAGAAUUAUUUGGUUAUGAGAUAUUAUAAAAUUGUGAGAUUUAAUGGUUAUAUUGAUAUAAAUUUUAAGUUUAAUUUGCUAGUCGAAUAAAGGAGAAAUGAGUUUGUUGACGGUUGCGUGUACGAAAUUUUGGCAUAUGUUCGAUAAGUGUAAUGUAGUAAUAUGUGAAAUUAAUAUGAAAAGAUUUAUAAUUGUUAUUAGUGUUGAUUUUGGCAUAAUGUGGAUUAUUCAAUGUUAAAUUAAUUUAAUGAAUAAAUUGAGUAUAUGAAUGAGUUUAUAUCGAGUCUCGUAGGCUCUAUUUAUUAUGAAUAUAUUAUUUCGAGGACAUAUUGUAAAGAACUAUAAAAGCAUGUUAAUAAUUUGAAAAGUUUUAAAUUGGAUGAAAGUAUACAACUCGAUUUAAUACGUUUAGAAGUGUAUGUGUUCUGGUAAUGUCUCGUACCCUAUUUCGGCGUCGAAUACGGAUAAGGGGUGUUACAUUACUCAAUUAAAUGUAUGUGUGAUUUUUAUUUAAAUUGUUGUAUUAAAGUUUUUAAGAUUUAAUUAUAUAUAGGAAAAUAUUAAUAUUUAUUAAGAAAAUAAUUAGAAAGAAGUGAACAUAUGAAUUUAACCUUAGCAACAAAGUGAAUAGAUUAAAUGGAGUGAAAUUAAAGUAAAAAAGACUAAAUUGAAAAGUGUACAAAAGUUUGUGUGAAUUGAAGUAAUACGAUAAAGAGUUUAAAUGAAGUGCUAAGUGUUAGUAAGUUAAAUACAAAGUAAUAUUGAAGAGAUAUUAUAGUUAUUAUUGAAUCAUAUAUUGCUAAGGACUAAAUUGUAAAAUAUUCAAAAGUGAUUAAGUGUACUAAAAUUUUGAAAUAACAUAUCUAAAUGUAAUGAUAUAUGAAAGUGACCAAUGAAAAGGAACUAAAUUGCAAAAUAUGCUAAAUAGAGAAGUAAGAUAAAUUACUGUUUUGAUAUAUGAGAAAGUGUGUUAUAUUUCAUGUAUCAGGUAAAUAUUAUUGUAGUGCUUAUUGACUUUUUAUAACAAUGAUUCAAAAGUAUGUAAGUUCUAUUCUAAAAUGUAAAAGUGAAGUUGAUUCUAUUAUAUUUUCCCAUGUAGACAAGAUAAGAACUACUAGUGUCACGGGGCUAGACCUUUCGUCUCGCAAUCCGUGCGACCUUAGGCGAUCCGUUCGUCCAAACUCGCCCAAGUCAGCCUUAACUCAAGUAAGGAUUCUUUUAGAACUCCUCUAAGGUACCAAAUUGAAGAGCGGAAGCGAUUUAUGCCAAAAGAAGAAUAACAAAGAACAACAAAAAGAACGCUCACAAAGUGUUUGAGUAAAUGCUCUCUAUUUCUCUUAUUCACAAAGAAUAAUGAAACAAUGAAUGGAGUGAGUACAAAUGAGGGGGAGGCUCUCUAUUUAUAGUUGAGCUCCCCCAAAAUCGACGGUCAAGAUACAAUUACAUCGACGGAUGAGAUUAACCAUAUCUCUUAAUUUUAGGGAUUUACAAGAUAAGCCUUAUCAAAUCUAAUCUAAUCUUUACAGGAUAAGAUUCCCUCUAUCUCCUAAGAUUAGUUACCAUAUUAGCCUAAGUUGCCAUCUCUUCGUUAUCGGGCCAACUAGGCUUCAAUCUGACAGGCUUCUCCAAUAUUUCUUUGAAUCGGGCCAAUUCUCGUAGGCUAAAUGAUCCCCAUCUGAGUAAUAGACCCCAUUGGAUGCAUUUGGUGUAAUGGUCACGGGCUUUAAACUACGGCCUGUGACAUUCUCCCCCACCCAUUCUCGCAACGUCCUCGUUGCGACUUCCGAAUGGCACUGUCUGGUUUUGCAUCGGUCUCGUCUCAACGCUUUAGCCUUUCCCUUCCUUCGAGACUUUUGCUUCGGCUUACGUCGCUUCUUAACUCGAGCCGUCCUACUUAUUGCAUUUACUCUGGUCAACUAUCCCACAUGCAUCACUUCCUUUUCCUUGAAGUCUGAUGCACCACCCACCUCUCCCAUAGGUGGAAGCCUUGUCGAUGACUCGACCAAUUCCGACGCUUUACUCAACUUGAGCCUCAUUGGUCCCAGCUUCACUGUUUUCAUCGCAACUCUUUCCUCUAAGUCCGAUGACAAACUCACCUCUUCCUUAGGUGGAAGCCCCUCUGAUGACUUACCAAGCUCAGACGUUGCCAUUCUUUUGACUCCAGCUUGCUUUGGACAGUUCCGCAACUCAUGCGGACCACGGUACAAGAAGCACUUUACUCGCUUCUUUUCACUCUUCUUUGCCCUCUUGGCUUCGGAAUUUCCUUUGCUCAAACCAAGCUUCUUGGGCUCCUUGUCUGCUCCAUCGUUCCCCUCGAUGACAGACUUUCUCAGACACUUCUGCAACCUAUGCGGACCAUGACACAAGAAGCACUCCAUUGGCUUCUUCUCGCUUUUGGCCUUCUUGGCUUCGACACCCCUUGCGCUCGAACCAAGUACCAAGGCCUUACCCACCGGCUUCUCCUUAAGCGCGAAUUUCCUCGGACAUUUCUUCAACAUGUGUGGACCGUCGCACAGAAAGCAUUUCAGUUCCCUUUUCCUCUUGGGUUUCUUCUUCCCAACUCGUGGUUUCCCAUUAUCACCAUUGUUGCUGUUGCCAUUGCCAUCAACAAUAUCUUCCUUGUGAUCCAUUUCACAUACACCCCUUUCCUCGGACUUGGAAGACCCAAGCUUGUCUUUCCCUAAACCAAGCUUAACCACAGACUCAACUACCGUCAUGGCUUCCGAUAGCUUUUGGACACCUAUUUGUUCCACCUCUUGUCUGACCCACGGCUUCAAUCCCUUCUGAAAAGCAAGCAAUGUUUUUUCCUCGGUCACAUCUGAAACUUGGAGCAUGAGUUCCUUGAACUCUUAAACAUACUCCCCCACUGUGCCCCGUUGCGUUAUCCCUUGUAACUUUGCUCGAGCUUCUUCCUCAGCAAAUUCUAGGUAAAACUGUCCCUUCAACUCGCAUUGGAACUCUUGCCACGUCCCAAUCUUACCCUGUCUUUUAUCUAUGGUCCUACCUCGCCACCAUAAAAGCGCAAUGUCAGUAAGAAACAUUAAAGCAGUGUUUACCUUAACCGCAUCAUCCAUGAUGCCUUUGGCACGGAAGUAGUUUUCCAUCCUCCAUAAGAAAUUGUCCACAUCGCAUGCAGACCUUGUCCCCACAAACUCUUUCGGCUUUGGGACAUCCUCAUUACUGAGUGCUGCAUUUGCCACUCCUUUCCCCACGGCUGCUCGACACAAGGCCAGCUCUCCCUCGAGCUCCUCUAUUCUUGUGCUCAAAGCCCUCGUCGUGGCCAUUGUUUCCUCCUUCAAAUCCAUCAUCAUGGCCUCGAGAGCAUCAUUCCUUUCCGACAGCUUAUCCCUAUGUGAAUUAAACAACUCGUUUACCUUAUCCAUGUUGGAACCAAAAGACAUCUUUACAUAGUCUCUGGACUACUCCUUCCAGUUUGCUAUGCGAUCCUCGACCCCAUCGAGUGCCUCCUUUACAUCCUCCAUGGAUCCCUCGAGUUUACCCACACGUUCCUCUACUGCCGAUAAUGUCUCCCUCAAAGACCUCCUCGCCCACCUUUGUUCGAACUCUUCUCUCGACAUCCCAACGGUGCCUUCGAACCAAUAACUCAGAUAUCUCUUGGUUCGAACCAACAGCUCGGAUACCACUUGUCACGGGGCUAGACCUUUCGUCUCGCAAUCCGUCGAGACAUAUCUUGCACGUAAGAUGAAUAAUACGAUAAUUAUAAGGUAUUAUAUGGUUUAUGAGUUUUAGUUAAUGUUUGAAUUGAUUGUGGGCUAUUGAGUAUGGUUUAGAAGUGUUUAAAAGCAUAGUUUUCAGGUCUCUUGUCUCAGGUAUCAAGAUAUGCAAAAUGUGUCUCGAGACACAAAAACUUCAAUGCUAAAAAUCAACAAUAACUGAAGCAUGUCUCGAUACCUAUACUCAUAUGUCCCAAGACAAGGUAAUUUCAAAGCCAAAUUUCUACAAUGUCAAAACAAUGUCUCUAGACAUUGAAGUCUUGGUCUCAAGACAUACAAGCCUACAAUUGAAUUUUUUUUUAGUUGGGCUAAAAAGGACCUAAAACGAAUAUGCAAUUAAACUCUAAUAUUAGUCUAGUUAUGUCCUUAAACAUGUAAAUUAGAAGUAUUUUAUGUUGUAAAAGAAUGUUCAACCUUAAAUGUAACAUUCGUUGCUCGAGUUUUCUCAAGUAAGGGGUGGUGCAGAAAAUCAUUGGUUGGAAGGCAAUUAUUGCAAAUUUCCAAAGGAAAAUGAUAAUUUUGUAAGGAAGUUUUGAGUUUCCAAAUAUUGGUCCACGCUUAGUGCAGAGCUGAUCCCACAGGGGUAAUAGUGCUAGGCUGAUACAAUGGGUAUAAGCAUUCUUCAUAAAGACAGAACCAUUAAAAUUAAAUUUCCAUACAAUUCUGUCUUCAACCCCUUGGAUUAAGAGGGUCCUGCUGAGGAGGACAGAGGCUCAACCAUGAUCGAGUAGAUAAUUGAUUUCUUUUGGUCCCAAUUGUUGAUGUGUGUGAAGAGGCAUGAUUCAACUUCAAUGGUAAAGGCAAGUAAUUUGACAUUGUCUACGAGAGGGAAAAUUUCCUUUUUCCUGUGAAGGCUCCCCAGUUCCAAACCUAAAUAUUUCCACGGUUGGUCAACUCUUUUUGCAUUUAGAAUACAGCUAUACCAUCUUUUGGCCAUCAAGAAAGAGUUCAGAUUUAUCAAAAUUGAUUUGGAGCCCCGACAGGUAAAAAGAAAAAUUAAAAUCAGUUUUGAAGGAUCUGCGGAUCUAAUUAGAAGAGUUAAAAAGAUAAAAGAGAGGAUAUUCAUGCAGAGAACAAAAGGGGAUCAACUUAACUCAGGCCUCUAACCGUAGUAAAGCUUUUAAAAAGUGAGCCAUCCAUUCUUUAUAGGACAAGGACAAAAAAAUUCAUUUGACUUAAACUAUAGGACUCGGCAGAAUAUAUUUUGGGUGUUUUGCAACAGCACCAGUUCGGUCCAGCACUAGUGUUAGAUAGACAGCAACCUUUGCUCAUUAACACACAAUCAAAGGCCUAUGCCUAAAGGACCAUGAAAACUUUAUUAAAUUAUGGAUCCUGUAAAACCUUCCAUCUAUUUAAGCGCAAAAGCUUUUAUGGAUACGUGCACAGCAGUUUCCAUCAUUUCCAUCAUGAUUGGACGUGCUUCAUGGCUGAAAUAACUUCACUAAUCGACACAAACUCUCGCCUCCUCUUCAGAAGUGUCUUGCCUAAUUCAAGAGCCCGUUGCUCGCAAUGUGCUCUUAUGUUAGCUUCUUUAAUUGAUUCAAAAUCCUCAACAUGAGCAACACCUACAAUUCUCCUGCAAGUUAUUAGAAGAUAAAAACAACAACAACAUUAGAACUUACAAAAUUCUUGGAGUUCAUUAGAUAAAUUUAACAAAAUAGGAUCCUGCAUGUCAUCGUAGGUAGAAGAGACUGGUUCUAUGAUUGCUAUUCAAUCUGUAGAGGAAGACUCCUCUAUCUGAUUGCCAGAAUUUUCUGACGAAAAAGCCAUUCUACAAAAUUUUCAAGCUCAGGGUUCUGAUCAUCGAGGUUUCAAAAGUUACAUCUCGUCAAUAUUUCCUAGUCAACUCAAGAAUCUAUUUCCUUUUACCGUCAACAAAAAAUUUACAUGUCAAGGUUCACAGUUUAAGAGUCAAUUAAGAUAAAGUACAAGGUUGAGAAUAUAGGGAAAAAAGUAAAAAGUCUAGAAGGCGGUGUUAAUUCAAAGACAUAAAUAUAACAGCAAUGGACUGAAAUGCAAGUUUCCAGACUGCCAUAAGAAAGAUAAACACGGAAUUAUGAAGGCCAGGAACAUAGAAAAAGUAGAGAACCUGAUAGAAAACCAUUUCCUCACCUUAUCAUCUUAGCAGCACCAAACCCAAGAGUAUCGUGGAACAAUUCCUUCAUAUACUUUUCCUGUAUAAGUUUCUGAAGGUCAGUAUUGUUAUAAAUUGCAGGAAGAUCAGCCUCCCCAGAGCCAUUUUUGUGUUCGUCCCAUAGUGCAGUAAACUUUUGGUGGAAAAGAUUCCAAGUAUCCUCAAUUGUCUUCAAUAUCCACUCUUUGUAUGACUAUGACAAUAUGAAAUUCAGCAAUGUCAAUAUAAUACUUUGAUAUUUUUAUAAAACAAAAUAAACAUUGCAAGUCUUCCAAAAAAAAACCUAUAUAAAUGAUGCUUCCUUAGCUUGUAAAGCAAUAUGUAUGAUGUAUGAAUAUGUACCAAGAGUAGCUUGAGAUAAAAUAAUAGUGGUGAUACAACUUUAUCUUGACCUACAACUUAUGAUACCAUAGAGACCACAUUUAACGAUAAAAUCGCAAGAUAUAUGACAAGAAUUUUCCAUAAUAAAUUGAAUGGCUAAACAAGAUUCGAAAGCAGAAGCAACUCAGCUUCUAGCACCUAUUAAAACAGUAUAGAUUAGGAUGGAACUAUAACUAAAGAUGACAUAAAUUGAAUGGCUAAACAAGAUUCAAAAGCAGAAGCAACUUAGCUUCUAGCACAUACUAAAACAGGAUAGACUAAGAUGGAAUUAUAACUAAAGAUGACAAACUAAAAAGACAAGUAUACUGGAAAGUUCUCAUUAAGCAAUAAGAGAG